CCCGAGGGAAAAUCUGGGAGGUAAAAAAAAACCCAGUUUCACAUUUGUUUUUGAUUUUAUUUUACUGAUUAAAUAAUUAUGAUCUUUAUAGCUACGAGAAAAGACCAUUUCUUUAACUGCUGGAUUCCCGAUUCAAUACGGUAAAACAACUUACAGUAAUCCUGUUAGGAUAUUAAGAUAUCCCUUGUCUAUCUUAAAAACCUUAUUAGUUCAAUCUUGUUAUGUGCAAUAUAAAUAUAUUAAAAUGAAUACUUCCUAAGUGCUUUUAUACUGAUGUGUGAAACAAUCUAGGAAUUUUUUAAGGAUUUGAACUUUUAGGGAGUUCAACUACUUGUAUACAGUUGUUAGUUUAUGUUAUUUAAUGUUCUUACUUAAUUAAUGACUACUUAUUAAUGUCUUUUUUUGUCUAAAACGAGUUUGUUAUACCUCAACAGAAGUAACGUAACAAUUGUACAAGAUAUGUUCAUCAAGUCAUAUAUAUAUAUAUAUAUAUAUAUAUAUA